rnacentral:lncRNA from 1 species
AUUUCAGCUCAGAGUCAAACCGUCAGAAAUUCACCCCCGAUUGAAGACCUUCUCACCGUCUGAUCCAACUCAAAUUUGGAGAUCUUAAAGAUGGAAAUAUCAGCUUUCCAGCACACUUUACAGCUUGGCAAUCCAACGGUUCAAUCAAAAGAUACGCGAAGAGCAAGAUGUCCCGUAAACCAGCCGGCUAGCGUUUCCACCCGCGGCCAACAGACCAUUCCCCGCGGUCACAAGCUACCCGAUCGCAGCCAGCCACCCAUUUCCCGCGGUCGCGCACUCCCCACCGCGGCCAGCUAACUCCGACUCUGAAGGCCCAUUUCUGAAGGCCAUAUCAUUUUGCCAGCCUUGAUUCCGGAAGCCUAGACCCUAGAGAUGUCUUGAGCACUAUAAAUACAUGUUUUAGGAACCCUAAUUCGUAUGACCUCAUAUGCUCAUAUUGUUUUAGAAUACGUUUUAAGUUUUAGGUUUUAGGGAGAG